rnacentral:tRNA from 1 species
GGGGGAGUGGCGGAAUUGGCAGACGCGCAUGACUUAGGAUCAUGUCUCUUGCGAGGUGAGGGUUCGAGUCCCUCCUUCCCCA